AAGACCUGGAAACGUUCCUCGUAAGUUUUCAGAGCUGAGCAAACAGUGAAAUUUCCGAGACAUACCUUGCAAGAAGUUAUGAGCGUGAAUUUUCCCCUUAUUCAGCAGCUGCGACCUCUCCACCAGGCAUCACAAAUGCAUCCGUUCCGGAGACGUAGUCAUCGCGGGGCCAGAGGAUGUGCCGUGUUUUUCUUCUCAAGCAAUUUAUAUUUCCUUUCUUGAUUCUUUCUUCUUCUAUUUAUUGAUUUAGUUUAUUAAUAAACUCGUUUAUUCGCCCACUA